AGAGUUUGAUCAUGGCUCAGAAUCAACGCUGGCGGCGCGCCUAACACAUGCAAGUCGAACGAGAAAGCAGGAGCAAUCUUGUGAGUAAAGUGGCGUACGGGUGAGUAACACGUGGAUCAUCUACCCUCUUGUGGGGGAUAACCCUGGGAAACCGGGGCUAAUACCGCAUAAGUCCGAGAGGAGAAAGCAGCAAUGCGCAGGAGGAGGAGUCCGCGGCCGAUUAGCUAGUUGGUAGGGUAAAAGCCUACCAAGGCAACGAUCGGUAGCCGGCCUGAGAGGGCACACGGCCACACUGGCACUGAAACACGGGCCAGACUCCUACGGGAGGCAGCAGUGGGGAAUCUUGCACAAUGGGGGCAACCCUGAUGCAGCGACGCCGCGUGAGCGAUGAAGCCCUUCGGGGUGUAAAGCUCUUUCGGCAGGGAAGAUUAUGACGGUACCUGCAGAAGCAGCUGCGGCUAACUACGUGCCAGCAGCCGCGGUAAUACGUAGGCAGCAAGCGUUGUUCGGAGUUACUGGGCGUAAAGGGUGUGUAGGCGGUCUUCUAAGUUUGGUGUGAAAUCUCCCGGCUCAACUGGGAGGGUGCGCCGAAAACUGGGAGGCUAGAGUGCGGGAUGGGAGAGUGGAAUUCCUGGUGUAGCGGUGAAAUGCGUAGAUAUCAGGAGGAACACCGGUGGCGAAGGCAGCCCCCUGGGCUAACACUGACGCUCAGGCACGAAAGCGUGGGGAGCAAACAGGAUUAGAUACCCUAGUAGUCC
rnacentral:rRNA from 1 species